GACGAACGCUGGCGGCGUGCUUAACACAUGCAAGUCGAACGGAAAGGCCCUGCUUUUGUGGGGUGCUCGAGUGGCGAACGGGUGAGUAACACGUGAGUAACCUGCCCUUGACUUUGGGAUAACUUCAGGAAACUGGGGCUAAUACCGGAUAGGAGCUCCUGCUGCAUGGUGGGGGUUGGAAAGUUUCGGCGGUUGGGGAUGGACUCGCGGCUUAUCAGCUUGUUGGUGGGGUAGUGGCUUACCAAGGCUUUGACGGGUAGCCGGCCUGAGAGGGUGACCGGCCACAUUGGGCCUGAGAUACGGCCCAGACUCCUACGGGGGGAAGCAGUGGGGAAUAUUGCACAAUGGGCGGAAGCCUGAUGCAGCAACGCCGCGUGCGGGAUGACGGCCUUCGGGUGGUAAACCGCUUUCGCCUGUGACGAAGCGUGAGUGACGGUAAUGGGUAAAGAAGCACCGGCUAACUACGU
rnacentral:rRNA from 1 species